GUUAGAAAUGUCAGAACAGAUUUACCUUUCUAGCAGAUCUGAAAGUCUGUGAAUGUGAGGAGCAGCAGAAUAAAGGAUGUGUUUGAGCACCCAGUCAACAGAAGCAGAGCUCUGGGACGUGUGGACAGACAUUCGCUGUAAUGAUGGACAUCUGCUCAUGGACAGGUUGAAAAGCAUAACCUCUGCUGGACAUCACUCUGGGACCCAAACCAUCCCCACCCC